GUCAAAAUGCAACUGCAACUAGAGGUAAAGCUUGAGGGUUUACGUUUUCCAGAUUUCCACAGUGUUAAAAAGUAUUCUGGAACUCCUGUGUAGAUUCAUUUCUCCCCUGGCUUUGGGAAGUGCGAUUACUGAACUAAAAAGUCACCGCAUCUUUCUCUGGCAACCGGAGGGUAUAAAUACUGAGCUGGGGGAGAGGCAUUUAAUCGGUUCAAUGUGUUCAUCACUUUAAAAAGUAUGAUCAGUUUCUGUUCAUUAUUGGAAUGUGGGGACUAAAGCGCUGCUGUGAGCCGGCUCACCUUUUCAUGUGGCAAACAAGGAAACGGACACGAAGACGAGGCGAAACGGCUCGUCUCCACGCCCAGGGCUUGGCCCCAGACUCUCAGCUCGUGUCCGCGGCGUUCCUCUGCCGAUGUAGGUGUUCUCCUCGUGGGGGCCUUCGGGGAGCCAUCGGCUCAGGAAAAGCCCAUCUCAGAUGGGUUACGAAGCAUCUUGGACUGCGUGCAUCAGAAUGUCAGUGAGCUGAAGGAGAGAACCGAAGAAAUUAUCCAGAAGACCCUCCCGAGACAAAGACAUGGAAGGAUGAAAGACAUGCUGUGAGGCUUGGAAAGGGCCCAACAGGACAGGGAAGAGACAAUAGCCAAAGCAAUACAGACCAAGAAUGUUCUAGAAUUGCUGAGAGGUUCACGAAGCACAGUGAACCCCAUGCCGGGCACUGCUGCAAAGGCUUUAUGGACUAACACACUGACUUGACCCAGCAACGCUGUGGGGAAGGUGUAGUUAGUGUCACCAUUUCACAGAGGAGGCCACUCAAGGCUCAGAGAGGUUAAGCAACUUGCCCAAUGCCACACAGCUAGCAAGGAGCAGAGGUCGGCUCCCAGAGUCUCUUACCACAAUCCUCUAUUCACUCUUGAAAAAUCUGUACUGUUUUAAAAAAAAUAACAAAGGCAAUGCUUUACGAAAUAUACUGAACAUUUUAAUUUAUGUCUAUUUACUGUAAAACUUUCUCUAGGUCAAUAUGACUAAAACUUAAAACCUUCUCUAGACCUAAAUAG
rnacentral:lncRNA from 1 species